GAUGAACGCUGGCGGCGUGCCUAAUACAUGCAAGUCGAGCGAACGGACGAGAAGCUUGCUUCUCUGAUGUUAGCGGCGGACGGGUGAGUAACACGUGGAUAACCUACCUAUAAGACUGGGAUAACUUCGGGAAACCGGAGCUAAUACCGGAUAAUAUUUUGCACCGCAUGGUUCAAAAGUGAAAGACGGUCUUUCUGUCACUUAUAGAUGGUUCCGCGCUGCAUUAGCUAGUUGGUAAGGUAACGGCUUACCAAGGCAACGAUGCAUAGCCGACCUGAGAGGGUGAUAGGCCACACUGGAACUGAGACACGGUCCAGACUCCUACGGGAGGCAGCAGUAGGGAAUCUGCCGCAAUGGGCGAAAGCCUGACGGAGCAACGCCGCGUGAGUGAUGAAGGUCUUCGGAUCGUAAAACUCUGUUAUUAGGGAAGAACAGAUGUGGAAGUAACUGUGCACAGCGUGACGGUACCUAAUCAGAAAGCCACGGCUAACUACGUG
rnacentral:rRNA from 1 species